GAUGAACGCUGGCGGCGUGCUUAACACAUGCAAGUCGAACGAAGCACUUUUUUUUAUUUCCUUCGGGACUGAUUAUUUUGUGUCUGAGUGGCGUACGUGUGAUUAACUCGUGUGUAACCUGCCUUUUACAGGGGGAUAACAGUUGGAAACGGCUGCUAUUACCGCAUAAGCGCCCUGCAUCUCUUGCUGCAGUUUGUUAAACUCCGGUGGUAUAGGAGGGACCCGCGUUGGAUUUGCUAGUUGGUGAGGUAACGGCCCACCAAGGCGACGAUGCAUAGCCGACAGGAGAGGGAGACAGGCCAGAUUGGGACUGAGACACGGACCAAAAUAGUACGGGAGGCAGGAGUGGGGAAUAUUGGAAAAGGGGCGAAAGCCUGAUGAAGCGACGACGCGUGAGCGAAGAAGUAUUUCGGGAAGUAAAGCGCUAUCAGAAGGGAAGAUAAUGACGGUAACGGAAUAAGAAGCACCGGCUAAAUACGUG
rnacentral:rRNA from 1 species